rnacentral:lncRNA from 1 species
GUGGCACUAUUCACAAUAGCAAAGACUUGGAACCAACCCAAAUGUCCAACAACAAUAGACUGGAUUAAGAAUAUGGGGCACAUAUACAGCAUGGAAUACUAUGCAGCCAUAAAAAAUGAUGAGUUCAUGUCCUUUGUAGGGACAUGGAUGGAGCUGGAAACCAUCAUUCUCAGCAAACUAUUGCAAGGACAAAAAACCAAACACCACAUGUUCUCACUCAUAGGUGGGAAUUGAACAAUGAGAACACUUGGACACAGGAAGGGGAACAUCACAUACCAGGGCCUGUUGUCGGUGGGUUAUGAGGGAGGGAUAGCAUUUGGAGAUAUACCUAAUGUUAAAUGAUGAGUUACAGGGUUCAGCACACUAACAUGGCACAUGUAUACAUAUGUAACUAACCUGCACAUUGUGCACAUGUACCGUAAAACUUAAAGUAUAGUAAUAAAAAAAAAGUUCACUUGAAAUGAAUUAGAAAUCUAGACAUAAACACUGAAACUAAAAAAAUUAUACAAGAAAAUAUUGAAGAGCCUGGGGUAGGCACAAAUGUUUUAGGCAGGAAACAAAAAGUACUACCUUAAAAGACAAAAUCGAUAGAUGGGCUUCGUUCAAAUGAAAAAAUGUUUACUCUUUCUGAGACACCAUGAAGAAAAUGAAAAGUCAAGCUUCAGACAGAAAAAGGACUCAUUUCCAGAAAACGUAAAGAUUUUAACUGGAUAAUAGGAAAACAACACAAAGCAAUGAGUAAAAGAUUUGGACAGACAUGUGACAGAUUGUAUUUUCCAAAGAUAUCCCCACAGUAUAUUCCAUUCCACAAGUUUUUUUCCCUGACAUGAUGCUGACACUUCUUCCAUUGAGAGGUGGUGGCUAUGACCCCUCCCCUUGCACCUGAGUGACUGCCUCAACCAUUAGCGUAUUGUGAAAAUAACACUGUGACUGAAGCUAGGUCAUAAGACGCCAUGAACUUCCACUUCGUUCUCUUGGGAUGCUUUUGGAACCCAGCAGGCCAAACUGCUACAUGGAGAGGCCAUGAGGAGGUGUUCUGGCCAAUGGCCUCCCUCGAGAUCCAGCUGAGGGCCAGCAUCAACUUCAGACACAGGAAUGAGUGAGUCUUCAGAUGAUUUCAGUUCCCGGCUGUUGAAUUACCCUCAGCCUUCAAGUUGCCCUGGCUGAUGCCAUGCAGAGCAGACAUUUAGUUGUCUUCAACGAGCUCUGAUCAAAUUGCCAUUUUGUGAGCAAAGUAAAUAAUUUGUCUUCAGCUACCAUGUUUGCAAUAUUUGUCACAAAAGAUAAUAUUCAAAUGGCCAAGAAACACAUGAAAAAGUAUACUCAACAACAUUACUCAUUAGAGAAGUACAAGUUACAAUCACAAUGAAAUGCCAUUACAUACCUAUUAAAAUGACCAAAAUAUUAACAAUUUAAAGCGUUUUCACCAUUUUAAGUGUUGAUGAGGAUGUAGAGCAAUGGGAACUCUUCUCCAUUGUUAGUGGGAUGAGACACUUAACAACCACUCUGGCAAAUUUGUCUGGCGGUUUCUUAUAAAGUUAAUCAUACACUAACCAUAUAUAUUUCCUAUAAAGUUAAUCAUACACUAAUUGCUAUAUAAUUCAGCAAUUCCAUUAUAGGUAUUUACCCAAGAGAAAUGAAAACAUGGCCAUAAAAACACUUGUAAACAAAUGUUCACAAUAGCUUCAUUCAUAAUUAUCCCAAACUGGAAAUAAUCUAAAUGUCUUUCGACUGGUGAAUGAAUAAAUAAAAUAUGGUAUAUCUAUACAAUGGGAUUCUACUGUACAGCUAUAAAAAGGAGCAAACUAGUGAGACAUGCAACAACUUAGAUGAAUCUUAAAACAAUUUGCUGAGUGAAAGAAGCCAGGUAUAAAAGUGUGCACCCUGUCAUUUCAUUUAUAUCUCAUUAUUAAUGACAGAAAGCAGAUCAAUGGUUUCCAGGAACUAGAGAUGGGGUAGGUGAUCGACGGCAAAGGGAUACAGAGAAAAUUUUGUAGUCAUGAAAAUGCUCUAUAUCUUGCUUGUGGUGAUAGUGGUUACAAUAGCAUGUACAUUUGUCAAAUUCACUAACCUGAAAAUGGGUGCAUUUUUUGUAUGCAAAUCAAUAAACUGGAUUUAAAUGAAGUAAAAACUUUAUAUGUAAAGAACACUGUAAUGGUUAAUAUUGUCAACUUGACUGGAUUGAAAGAUGCAAAGUACUGUUCCUGGGUAUGUCUAUGAGGGUGUUAACCAAAGGAGAUUCACAUUUGAGUCUGUGGAUUGGGAGAGGCAAACCCACUCUCAAUCUGGGUGGGAACCGUCUAAUCAGCUGCCAGCGUGGCUAGACUGGCUGAGUCUUCCAAGAUUCCUCUUUCUCCUGUGCUAGAUGCUUCCUGCCCUCGAACAUUGGACUCCAAGUUCUUCAGCUUUUGGACUCUUGGAUUUACACCAGUGGUUUGGCAGGGGCUCUUGGGCCUUUGGCCACAGACUGAAGGCUGCACUGUUGGCUUCCCUACUUGUGAGGCUUUGGGACUCUGACGGAUCCACCACUGGAUUCCUUGCUCCUCAACUUGCAGAAGACCUAUCAUGGGACUUUACCUUGUGAUCAUAGAAUUACCAUGGACAUAAUAUUUAAUGCCAUCUAACCCUGGACAGCAAUGUGGGAUCAGAGAUACACCUGUGGGGAGAAUAGAGGCACUCUCAGCCACGCC